CCCCUCUCAGAAUAGCACCUGGAGGGUUCCCGGUCCUCUACCAGUCCUGACUAUGGGAGGGAGAGUCAAGCAGAGGCCUACCCAUUCCAUUCUUAGCUUCGGCGGUGGCUAAUGAGUGGAAGGCCAUCUGCUACAAGG
rfam:Ornithorhynchus anatinus chromosome X1, whole genome shotgun sequence.